UGAGGUAACCUGCUUGCAGCCCCAAACCCGUAGAUCCGAACUUGUGUCAUCUGACACCACAAGCUUGCAUCUACAGGUCUGCGUCUGUGCAGCUUCGGCG
ensembl:miRNA mir100-1 microRNA mir-100-1